rnacentral:rRNA from 1 species
CAGCAGCCGCGGGAAUACAGAGGGUGCGAGCGUUAAUCGGAUUUACUGGGCGUAAAGCGUGCGUAGGCGGCUUUUUAAGUCGGAUGUGAAAUCCCCGGGCUUAACUUAGGAAUUGCAUUUGAUACUGGGUAGCUAGAGUAUGGGAGAGGAUGGUAGAAUUCCAGGUGUAGCAGUGAAAUGCGUAGAGAUCUGGAGGAACACCGAUGGCGAAGGCAGCCAUCUGGACUAAGACUGACGCUGAGGUACGAAAGCAUGGGGAGCAAACAGGAUUAGAUACCCCAGUAGUCCCUGUCUCUUAUAC